GACGAACGCUGGCGGCGUGCUUAACACAUGCAAGUCGAACGGAAAGGCCCUGCUUUUGUGGGGUGCUCGAGUGGCGAACGGGUGAGUAACACGUGAGUAACCUGCCCUUGACUUUGGGAUAACUUCAGGAAACUGGGGCUAAUACCGGAUAGGAGCUCCUGCUGCAUGGUGGGGGUUGGAAAGUUUCGGCGGUUGGGGAUGGACUCGCGGCUUAUCAGCUUGUUGGUGGGGUAGUGGCUUACCAAGGCUUUGACGGGUAGCCGGCCUGAGAGGGUGACCGGCCACAUUGGGACUGAGAUACGGCCCAGACUCCUACGGGAGGCAGCAGUGGGGAAUAUUGCACAAUGGGCGGAAGCCUGAUGCAGCAACGCCGCGUGCGGGAUGACGGCCUUCGGGUUGUAAACCGCUUUCGCCUGUGACGAAGCGUGAGUGACGGUAAUGGGUAAAGAAGCACCGGCUAACUACGUGCCAGCAGCCGCGGUGAUACGUAGGGUGCGAGCGUUGUCCGGAUUUAUUGGGCGUAAAGGGCUCGUAGGUGGUUGAUCGCGUCGGAAGUGUAAUCUUGGGGCUUAACCCUGAGCGUGCUUUCGAUACGGGUUGACUUGAGGAAGGUAGGGGAGAAUGGAAUUCCUGGUGGAGCGGUGGAAUGCGCAGAUAUCAGGAGGAACACCAGUGGCGAAGGCGGUUCUCUGGGCCUUUCCUGACGCUGAGGAGCGAAAGCGUGGGGAGCGAACAGGCUUAGAUACCCUGGUAGUCCACGCUGUAAACGGUGGGUACUAGGUGUGGGGUCCAUUCCACGGGUUCCGUGCCGUAGCUAACGCUUUAAGUACCCCGCCUGGGGAGUACGGCCGCACGGCUAAAACUCAAAGGAAUUGACGGGGCCCCGCACAAGCGGCGGAGCACGCGGAUUAAUUCGAUGCAACGCGUAGAACCUUACCUGGGUUUGACAUGGAUCGGGAGUGCUCAGAGAUGGGUGUGCCUCUUUUGGGGUCGGUUCACAGGUGGUGCAUGGCUGUCGUCAGCUCGUGUCGUGAGAUGUUGGGUUAAGUCCCGCAACGAGCGCAACCCUUGUUCACUGUUGCCAGCACGUUAUGGUGGGGACUCAGUGGAGACCGCCGGGGUCAACUCGGAGGAAGGUGGGGACGACGUCAAGUCAUCAUGCCCCUUAUGUCCAGGGCUUCACGCAUGCUACAAUGGCUGGUACAGAGAGUGGCGAGCCUGUGAGGGUGAGCGAAUCUCGGAAAGCCGGUCUCAGUUCGGAUUGGGGUCUGCAACUCGACCUCAUGAAGUCGGAGUCGCUAGUAAUCGCAGAUCAGCAACGCUGCGGUGAAUACGUUCCCGGGGCU
rnacentral:rRNA from 1 species